rnacentral:rRNA from 1 species
AUAACCAGUGGAAACAUUGGGCAUCACCCUUUACGCGCGGAGGGGGAAAAUUUAUUGCUAUCAGAUAGGCCCGCGUUAGAUUACCUAGUUGGUGGGGUAAUGUCCUAGCAAGGCUACUAUCUAUAGCUGGUCUGAGAGGAUGAUCAGCCUCACUGGAACUUAGACUCGGUCCAGACUCCUACGGGAGGCAGCAAUGAGGAAUAUUGGACAAUGGGCGAAAGCCUGAUCCAGCCGUACCGCAUGAGUGAUGAAGGCCCUUGGGUUGUAAAGCUCUUUUAGAGGGGAAGAUAAUGACGGUACCCAC